rnacentral:piRNA from 1 species
CAAUUGUCAUACAUAUGUGGAGU